UUCAACAUAUGAAUUUUAAGGGACACAAACAUUCAAUCCAUUCCAAUACUCAAGGUAUUUUUUUAAUAGUGAAAUGGAAUAGGGGGAAAGAAAUGAGAUCAAAUGGCAGAGCAAGGCAUGGCAAGCAACAGAGUGGAAUGAGAGAACCAUAGUCCCACAGAUACCCUGAAAUGACCCCCUACACCUAGGAAGGAAGAUUGCCUGGGGCAAAAAAAAGUAGUUGCAUCAGAUCCAGCUGAUGACAGGCAUCUUCAUCACAGCAAAUGACUUCCCAAGUGCCCUUUGCAGGGCCUGUUGAAUGCAAACGCUGAGACAGCAACCACCUUUUACACCAUUUACAAGCUCCAGGAAGGCCCCUAGGCCCCCAAACAUCUCUAAUCCUGCCACUGGCCUGGGAUUUCCACCAAAAAAGAGCCUCAGCUUUCAAGCCUUGCCUCUGCCCCAAGACUGCUGUGAUAAUGCCAGCACAGUAGCACUUUCAAAUAUUAGCCACCGUUUUGGCCCCAAAUGAAAUUCAUUUAUCAGCUCACUUUCUAAUAUCACAGCCACCUUUGGGAAGGAGGACUGAAAUAGGCACACCUAGGUAUGGAACCUCAGGACAAGGAAUACAUAUGAGGACAAGGGGUCUUGGGGAGAGGCAUGAAAAAGCUCUAGAAGGGAGGAAGCAGCUAAAAGGUGAACACCUGGUUGCUGGCCAGGCCUGGACUCACCAUGUACUUUCUUGGAUCUCAGUGCAGGGAUGAAGGGUAGAAUGAUCCACAAGGAAGGAAAAUCCUAUGACUUCAGGGAAGAUAGCAAGGGAAACAGUUAAUAUGUACAACUGUUGUGGAGAAAAUGAAAUGUAAGCAGGAAUAAAACAGCAAAGGUCAAUUAGGACACUUUACGAAACCCAGAUGACACACGGUGAUGCUGCUGACCAGAGAGAGCAAUCAGGGUAGAGAUGGAAAAGCAGGCCAACCUGCCAUGAACUCUGCACAUUCAAGCCCAGUGACUUGGAGUCAGUGAGGUAAGCAGACAAAGGGGAAAUCACAGUUUGGGUCUAGAAGCUAGUGUGUUGGUUUGAGGAAGCAGGUAGGGAAGACACAGAGGAAAGGAAAUUAGGCAAGAAAAAACAAUAGAAAUCUGUUGUGGCCAUUUACGUUUGAGACUCCUAGGACACGUUAGUUGAGACACCAUGUGGAAGAGGAGAUACAAAAAUCUAGACUUAAGAGGGGAGCUGGGUCAAAGAUACACAUACAGGAAUUAUCAGAAUUCAAAUACUUUCCUUAAAUUUAUUCAUUUAAAUACAAAUUAGUUAACAUACACUAUAAUACUGGUUUCAGUAGUAGAACCCAAUGAUUCAUCACUUACAUA